rnacentral:tRNA from 1 species
GCCAGGGUGGUGUAGUGGUUUGAGCAUUAGACUAUGACUCUGGAGACCAGGAUUCGAAUCCCAACUCAGCCA